UUGCCCCCAGGCGAUUUAAGCCAGCCCCAAGCACCCCUCAUAGCUCUAUCCGCUCCCUAUCUCUCCUGUGGAUUCCCCACACCAGGCAAUGACUCGUCCCAUGACCUCCUCCUCCUCCUAUGGUCGACAACCCCCGCCUCGGGUCCCACUCAAAUUCGAGCUCCCCGACAACGCUCUCCCCCUUCAAACCACACUAGGGCACCGCCAACAUCCCCACGAGCCCCUCCCAAACUCGUUUUCUUCAUUUCGGUGGUCGGAGCACCGCCUCCCAUGGCCACUGUCGUUGGUCUCUGCUUCUGCCGGACCCCCUGCUCUGUCGAGCACUCCCCGUCGGUCGUGAGCUAUCUACGCCAGUGCAUCUCGCCCUCCUAAUCAUGUCCAUCACUGGAGAUUUGUGGGGGACGACAUGUAGCUCUAAUAAUCUCCACCGGGAUCCGCUCAUAACCUCGGUUGGGCACGAGCCAGUGGUAUACGAUGUCAUCCCAUCACCCAUCAGGGCCCCGCGAGUCGGCCGGAGGACAAGCCACGGACUGGAGGGCCCCACCCGUUUGAGUGGAGACGGGCACCGCUCGGAGCCGCUUCUGCCCAGGAAAGUGCAUUUCCUGAGUGCACCUUCGACUUGGGCCUUCGCAUGAGCACGACCUAGUUGCUGGGCCAACCAUUCCUAUCUUGCUCCUCGGGAGCUGAUCUGGCCCAUAUGUUGACGAGAUAUACGAGGUUCUCGGAGUUGGACUGGAAGCCCGUGAAGACCUCGAAGACUUUGUAGAGCCAGGCAAGAAGACCCUUGACCACGACUGGGAACCAUUUUAUGUAUCUCAUAUGGCACUUUACUUUGUUGCGUUUGAAUCUUGUUAAAUUGGUGACCUCCUUGGUGGGUUGUCUCCAGUAACUCCAUGUUGAUACUUGCACUGAGCAUGACCCUACAUUUCUAUGAGGGUUGUGCUGGCGGGAAGUAGUUAGGAUGCUAAAGUAGUUUCUACGCAAAUGGGAUGGCGAAUAUGCAUGGUGACGGAAAAGAAAUGAUUUCAAGGACUUUAUGGAAACCCGUCGGGUGGCACUAAUGCCCGAGUGAGAUGGUGUUGAGAUUAGAUGACCACUUGAGAAAGAAGUGGUGUACAAAGACAAGUUGUGUGCGUGUUUUCAAAAACAGAGAGAUUUAAGAUUUGUCAACCGUCCCAACCUUA